rnacentral:tRNA from 1 species
GCCGGGGUGGCGGAACUGGCAGACGCACAGGACUUAAAAUCCUGCGGUGAGUGAUCACCGUACCGGUUUAGCUCCUGUCCCUGGCA